rnacentral:SRP_RNA from 1 species
ACUGAGCUCGGUAACGCGUGGGCAUGUCACCAAGUGGAGUAUUAAGGUAUUUGAAUAAUUUGGUAUUGAGCUCAAGGUUGACAUUAUGAGCUAGCUUUGAUUUGCCUGUUUCCAAGUUGGGCAGUAGAAGCUAUGUUUCAGGCCAACGCUUGAAUCAUAUUCUACUUAAACUUGAGGGUAAUGAGUGAGGCUGGUUUGAUAAAACAACGAUUACCUCUCACUCUCAACGGUGGAAGAAUUACAAGUCAUUUGCUCAUAUUGCCAAUUAGCUAGCCUUGGAAUCCACCAAAUUCAACAAAUAUUUUU